rnacentral:piRNA from 1 species
UCAGAGGGAAGAGGUCAGGCCUUGGAAUC